rnacentral:rRNA from 1 species
AGUGAACGCUGGCGGUAGGCCUAACACAUGCAAGUCGAACGGCAGCACAGUAAGAGCUUGCUCUUACGGGUGGCGAGUGGCGGACGGGUGAGGAAUACAUCGGAAUCUACUUUUUCGUGGGGGAUAACGUAGGGAAACUUACGCUAAUACCGCAUACGACCUACGGGUGAAAGCAGGGGAUCUUCGGACCUUGCGCGAUUGAAUGAGCCGAUGUCGGAUUAGCUAGUUGGCGGGGUAAAGGCCCACCAAGGCGACGAUCCGUAGCUGGUCUGAGAGGAUGAUCGGCCACACUGGAACUUAGACACGGUCCAGGGUCCUACGGGAGGCAGCAGUGGGGAAUAUUGGACAAUGGGCGCAAGCCUGAUCCAGCCAUACCGCGUGGGUGAAGAAGGCCUUCGGGUUGUAAAGCCCUUUUGUUGGGAAAGAAAAGCAGCAGGUUAAUACCCCGCUGUUCUGACGGUACCCAAUGAAUAAGCACCGGCUAACUUCGUG